UUUCCGUAGGUGAACCUGCGGAAGGAUCAUUAAAGUUAUAGUCCCCCGGCCCUCUGGGCUGGGGUCUUCUAUACCACCCUUUGUUUAUUACACCUUUGUUGCUUUGGCAGGCCUGCCCUCGGGCUGCUGGCUCCGGCCGGCUCGCGUUUGCCAGAGGACCUAAACUCUGUUUGUAUAUGAAGUCUGAGUACUAUAUAAUAGUUAAAACUUUCAACAACGGAUCUCUCGGUUCUG
rnacentral:misc_RNA from 1 species